rnacentral:rRNA from 1 species
UGUAGCAAGGUUAACCGUAUAGGGGAGCCGUAGGGAAACCGAGUCUUAACCGGGCGUUAAGUUGCAGGGUAUAGACCCGAAACCCGGUGAUCUAGCCAUGGGCAGGUUGAAGGUUGGGUAACACUAACUGGAGGACCGAACCGACUAAUGUUGAAAAAUUAGCGGAUGACCUGUGGCUGGGGGUGAAAGGCCAAUCAAACCGGGAGAUAGCUGGUUCUCCCCGAAAGCUAUUUAGGUAGCGCCUCGUGAAUUCAUCUCCGGGGGUAGAGCACUGUUUCGGCUAGGGGGCCAUCCCGGCUUACCAACCCGAUGCAAACUGCGAAUACCGGAGAAUGUUAUCACGGGAGACACACGGCGGGUGCUAACGUCCGUCGUGAAGAGGGAAACAACCCAGACCGCCAGCUAAGGUCCCAAAGUCAUGGUUAAGUGGGAAACGAUGUGGGAAGGCCCAGACAGCCAGGAUGUUGGCUUAGAAGCAGCCAUCAUUUAAAGAAAGCGUAAUAGCUCACUGGUCGAGUCGGCCUGCGCGGAAGAUGUAACGGGGCUAAACCAUGCACCGAAGCUGCGGCAGCGACGCUUAUGCGUUGUUGGGUAGGGGAGCG